AGAGUUUGAUCCUGGCUCAGGAUGAACGCUGGCGGCGUGCUUAACACAUGCAAGUCGAACGGUGAAGCUCCAGCUUGCUGGAGUGGAUCAGUGGCGAACGGGUGAGUAACACGUGAGCAACCUGCCCCGGACUCUGGGAUAACAGUUGGAAACAGCUGCUAAUACCGGAUACGCACCAUACAGGCAUCUGUUGUGGUGGGAAAGAUUUUUUGGUUCGGGAUGGGCUCGCGGCCUACCAGCUUGUUGGUGAGGUAAUGGCUCACCAAGGCGUCGACGGGUAGCCGGCCUGAGAGGGUGACCGGCCACACUGGGACUGAGACACGGCCCAGACUCCUACGGGAGGCAGCAGUGGGGAAUAUUGCACAAUAGGCGGAAGCCUGAUGCAGCAACGCCGCGUGAGGGAUGACGGCCUUCGGGUUGUAAACCUCUUUUAGCAGGGAAGAAGCGAGAGUGACGGUACCUGCAGAAAAAGCGCCGGCUAACUACGUGCCAGCAGCCGCGGUAAUACGUAGGGCGCAAGCGUUAUCCGGAAUUAUUGGGCGUAAAGAGCUCGUAGGCGGUCUGUCGCGUCUGCUGUGAAAACCCGAGGCUCAACCUCGGGCCUGCAGUGGGUACGGGCAGACUAGAGUGCGGUAGGGGAGAUUGGAAUUCCUGGUGUAGCGGUGGAAUGCGCAGAUAUCAGGAGGAACACCGAUGGCGAAGGCAGAUCUCUGGGCCGUAACUGACGCUGAGGAGCGAAAGGGUGGGGAGCAAACAGGCUUAGAUACCCUGGUAGUCCACCCCGUAAACGUUGGGAACUAGUUGUGGGGACCUUUCCACGGUCUCCGUGACGCAGCUAACGCAUUAAGUU
rnacentral:rRNA from 1 species